rnacentral:rRNA from 1 species
GUCGAACGGUGAAGCCCUUCGGGGUGGAUCAGUGGCGAACGGGUGAGUAACACGUGGGCAAUCUGCCCUGCACUCUGGGACAAGCCUUGGAAACGAGGUCUAAUACCGGAUAUUACCCCUGGGGGCAUCCCUGGGGGUGGAAAGCUCCGGCGGUGCAGGAUGAGCCCGCGGCCUAUCAGCUUGUUGGUGGGGUGAUGGCCUACCAAGGCGACGACGGGUAGCCGGCCUGAGAGGGCGACCGGCCACACUGGGACUGAGACACGGCCCAGACUCCUACGGGAGGCAGCAGUGGGGAAUAUUGCACAAUGGGCGAAAGCCUGAUGCAGCGACGCCGCGUGAGGGAUGAAGGCCUUCGGGUUGUAAACCUCUUUCAGCAGGGAAGAAGCGCAAGUGACGGUACCUGCAGAAGAAGCACCGGCUAACUACGUGCCAGCAGCCGCGGUAAUACGUAGGGUGCGAGCGUUGUCCGGAAUUAUUGGGCGUAAAGAGCUCGUAGGCGGCUUGUCACGUCGGAUGUGAAAGCCCGGGGCUUAACCCCGGGUCUGCAUUCGAUACGGGCAGGCUAGAGUGUGGUAGGGGAGAUCGGAAUUCCUGGUGUAGCGGUGAAAUGCGCAGAUAUCAGGAGGAACACCGGUGGCGAAGGCGGAUCUCUGGGCCAUUACUGACGCUGAGGAGCGAAAGCGUGGGGAGCGAACAGGAUUAGAUACCCUG